rnacentral:lncRNA from 10 species
AUUCAGGACAUUCUGAAGGUGCUGGUGUCCAACCUUCACCAUUCCAGUGGGGUAGUGCUCCCGCAUUGGGCAAGUGGAAGGUGAGGCAGUGCCCGGACCUCUCUCUGGCUUGCUGUCUCCAGCCGUGCAUGUUUCUGAGACUUCUCUGGUUUGCGGGAUACUUUGCCUCUGGCUUAUUUUAUGUUGCUGCCAUUAUCCUUCAGCCUGUUUAUGUCUGCUUCUUCACCUGCUUGAUUGAUUGGGUUUUUUCCUUCCCAGCAUCUUUUAUCAUCUUGGAAAUGGUGAGUCAUACCUUAAAAUUUAAAAGUAAUUUGAGAAUAAUGUACAAUAUAGGGAUGUGGGAUUUGGGGCUUUUGUUUUGUUUUGUUUUUGAGACAGAGUCUCACUCUGUCACCCAGACUGGAGUGCAGUGGUGUGGUGCUAUCCUGGCUCUAUGCAACCUCUGCCUCCCGGGUUCAAGCGAUUCUCUUGCGUUAGCCUCCUGAGUAGCUGGGAUUACAGGCACCUGCCACCACGCCCAGCUAAUCUUUGUAGUUUUAGUGGAGACACGGUUUCACCAUGGUGGACAGACUGGUCUUGAACUCCUGAUCUCAAGUGAUACACCCACCUCAGCCUCCCAAAGUGCUGGGAUUACAUGCGUGAGCCACCGUGCAUGGUCUCUUGCUGUUUUUAUACUUUCUCUAUAUGCAUAUAGAGAUGUUUCCCAUGUAAGUUUUUGUUUCUUUGAAUUUCUCAUUUUUAUUACCCCUGCAUCAUCUGCUACCCUGAAGAAUCUGGAGGUAAGAGGCCCUGGGCCAGGGUGCAGUGACCCUGCAGGCCAGCCCUCCAACCUCCUCUCACAGCGGGAGCUGGGUGCCCCUCUGCCAACUGAGACAGUCCACACACACCCCAGCCCUAAUGAUUGUUCUCUCUACCUCUCCCCGCAGUCCUCUUCCAACUCCUCCUCUCUGCAUGCGCCUCAGAGCCGGUACCAAGAACUGGAAGUAGCCCUGGACUCAAGCUCUGCAACAAUCAAUCAACUCAAUGAAAACGUAGAAUCAUUGAAACAACAGAAGAAACAAGUGGAACAUCAGCUGGAAGAAGAAAAGAAAGCAAACAAUGACAUACACAAAGCACAGACGGAGCAGUUAGAGACAAUCAACAUCCUCACAUUGGAAAAGGCAGACUUGAAGACCACCCUUUACCAUACUAAACGUGCCGCCAGACACUUCGAAGGUGAGAACGUGGGCACCCCAUCAUCC